rnacentral:rRNA from 1 species
UCCUACGGGAGGCAGCAGUGGGGAAUAUUGGGCAAUGGAGGAAACUCUGACCCAGCGACGCCGCGUGCGGGAUGAAGGCCUUCGGGUUGUAAACCGCUUUCAGUAGGGAAGAAGCGAAAGUGACGGUACCUACAAAAGAAGCACCGGCUAACUAUGUGCCAGCAGCCGCGGUAAUACAUAGGGUGCAAGCGUUGUCCGGAAUUAUUGGGCGUAAAGAGCUCGUAGGUCGUUUGUUACGUCGGAUGUGAAAACCUGAGGCUCAACCUCAGGCCUGCAUUCGAUACGGGCAAACUAGAGUUUGGUAGGGGAGACUGGAAUUCCUGGUGUAGCGGUGGAAUGCGCAGAUAUCAGGAGGAACACCAAUGGCGAAGGCAGGUCUCUGGGCCAAUACUGACACUGAGGAGCGAAAGUCUGGGGAGCGAACAGGAUUAGAUACCCUGGUAGUCCAGACCGUAAACGGUGGGCACUAGUUGUGGGAACCUUCCACGGUUUCUGCGACGCAGCUAACGCAUUAA